GGUUAAGCGACUAAGCGUACACGGUGGAUGCCCUGGCAGUCAGAGGCGAUGAAGGACGUGCUAAUCUGCGAUAAGCGUCGGUAAGGUGAUAUGAACCGUUAUAACCGGCGAUUUCCGAAUGGGGAAACCCAGUGUGUUUCGACACACUAUCAUUAACUGAAUCCAUAGGUUAAUGAGGCGAACCGGGGGAACUGAAACAUCUAAGUACCCCGAGGAAAAGAAAUCAACCGAGAUUCCCCCAGUAGCGGCGAGCGAACGGGGAGCAGCCCAGAGCCUGAAUCAGUGUGUGUGUUAGUGGAAGCGUCUGGAAAGGCGCGCGAUACAGGGUGACAGCCCCGUACACAAAAAUGCACAUGCUGUGAGCUCGAUGAGUAGGGCGGGACACGUGGUAUCCUGUCUGAAUAUGGGGGGACCAUCCUCCAAGGCUAAAUACUCCUGACUGACCGAUAGUGAACCAGUACCGUGAGGGAAAGGCGAAAAGAACCCCGGCGAGGGGAGUGAAAAAGAACCUGAAACCGUGUACGUACAAGCAGUGGGAGCACGCUUAGGCGUGUGACUGCGUACCUUUUGUAUAAUGGGUCAGCGACUUAUAUUCUGUAGCAAGGUUAACCGAAUAGGGGAGCCGAAGGGAAACCGAGUCUUAACUGGGCGUUAAGUUGCAGGGUAUAGACCCGAAACCCGGUGAUCUAGCCAUGGGCAGGUUGAAGGUUGGGUAACACUAACUGGAGGACCGAACCGACUAAUGUUGAAAAAUUAGCGGAUGACUUGUGGCUGGGGGUGAAAGGCCAAUCAAACCGGGAGAUAGCUGGUUCUCCCCGAAAGCUAUUUAGGUAGCGCCUCGUGAAUUCAUCUCCGGGGGUAGAGCACUGUUUCGGCAAGGGGGUCAUCCCGACUUACCAACCCGAUGCAAACUGCGAAUACCGGAGAAUGUUAUCACGGGAGACACACGGCGGGUGCUAACGUCCGUCGUGAAGAGGGAAACAACCCAGACCGCCAGCUAAGGUCCCAAAGUCAUGGUUAAGUGGGAAACGAUGUGGGAAGGCCCAGACAGCCAGGAUGUUGGCUUAGAAGCAGCCAUCAUUUAAAGAAAGCGUAAUAGCUCACUGGUCGAGUCGGCCUGCGCGGAAGAUGUAACGGGGCUAAACCAUGCACCGAAGCUGCGGCAGCGACGCUGAUGCGUUGUUGGGUAGGGGAGCGUUCUGUAAGCCUGCGAAGGUGUGCUGUGAGGCAUGCUGGAAGUAUCAGAAGUGCGAAUGCUGACAUAAGUAACGAUAAAGCGGGUGAAAAGCCCGCUCGCCGGAAGACCAAGGGUUCCUGUCCAACGUUAAUCGGGGCAGGGUGAGUCGACCCCUAAGGCGAGGCCGAAAGGCGUAGUCGAUGGGAAACAGGUUAAUAUUCCUGUACUUGGUGUUACUGCGAAGGGGGGACGGAGAAGGCUAUGUUGGCCGGGCGACGGUUGUCCCGGUUUAAGCGUGUAGGCUGGUUUUCCAGGCAAAUCCGGAAAAUCAAGGCUGAGGCGUGAUGACGAGGCACUACGGUGCUGAAGCAACAAAUGCCCUGCUUCCAGGAAAAGCCUCUAAGCAUCAGGUAACAUCAAAUCGUACCCCAAACCGACACAGGUGGUCAGGUAGAGAAUACCAAGGCGCUUGAGAGAACUCGGGUGAAGGAACUAGGCAAAAUGGUGCCGUAACUUCGGGAGAAGGCACGCUGAUAUGUAGGUGAGGUCCCUCGCGGAUGGAGCUGAAAUCAGUCGAAGAUACCAGCUGGCUGCAACUGUUUAUUAAAAACACAGCACUGUGCAAACACGAAAGUGGACGUAUACGGUGUGACGCCUGCCCGGUGCCGGAAGGUUAAUUGAUGGGGUUAGCGCAAGCGAAGCUCUUGAUCGAAGCCCCGGUAAACGGCGGCCGUAACUAUAACGGUCCUAAGGUAGCGAAAUUCCUUGUCGGGUAAGUUCCGACCUGCACGAAUGGCGUAAUGAUGGCCAGGCUGUCUCCACCCGAGACUCAGUGAAAUUGAACUCGCUGUGAAGAUGCAGUGUACCCGCGGCAAGACGGAAAGACCCCGUGAACCUUUACUAUAGCUUGACACUGAACAUUGAGCCUUGAUGUGUAGGAUAGGUGGGAGGCUUAGAAGUGUGGACGCCAGUCUGCAUGGAGCCGACCUUGAAAUACCACCCUUUAAUGUUUGAUGUUCUAACGUUGACCCGUAAUCCGGGUUGCGGACAGUGUCUGGUGGGUAGUUUGACUGGGGCGGUCUCCUCCUAAAGAGUAACGGAGGAGCACGAAGGUUGGCUAAUCCUGGUCGGACAUCAGGAGGUUAGUGCAAUGGCAUAAGCCAGCUUGACUGCGAGCGUGACGGCGCGAGCAGGUGCGAAAGCAGGUCAUAGUGAUCCGGUGGUUCUGAAUGGAAGGGCCAUCGCUCAACGGAUAAAAGGUACUCCGGGGAUAACAGGCUGAUACCGCCCAAGAGUUCAUAUCGACGGCGGUGUUUGGCACCUCGAUGUCGGCUCAUCACAUCCUGGGGCUGAAGUAGGUCCCAAGGGUAUGGCUGUUCGCCAUUUAAAGUGGUACGCGAGCUGGGUUUAGAACGUCGUGAGACAGUUCGGUCCCUAUCUGCCGUGGGCGCUGGAGAACUGAGGGGGGCUGCUCCUAGUACGAGAGGACCGGAGUGGACGCAUCACUGGUGUUCGGGUUGUCAUGCCAAUGGCACUGCCCGGUAGCUAAAUGCGGAAGAGAUAAGUGCUGAAAGCAUCUAAGCACGAAACUUGCCCCGAGAUGAGUUCUCCCUGACCCUUUAAGGGUCCUGAAGGAACGUUGAAGACGACGACGUUGAUAGGCCGGGUGUGUAAGCGCAGCGAUGCGUUGAGCUAACCGGUACUAAUGAACCGUGAGGCUUAACCUU
rnacentral:rRNA from 1 species